UGAUGCUCAGGUCUAUGUGCUCUUCCUUCUGCAAGGGCUUUGAGGAACACGUUUUUGCAUGCUGCUGUUGGAUACUUUGGAGAGCUCAAUGUAAAUCAAAGAUGAUGAGAUGAGACUUGCUCCAGGUUUGAAAUCCUGAGUUGUUUUCAGCUUCUAGAAGGAAUGGCCAUGCAGCUUGUGGGCCUUCAAGAGAUGGCUGUGUGCAGUGCUGCUGUCUCCAGCAGGAGAGGCUGGAGUCUGGCAUCCUUGUGUCUGCACUGUGCUGUACGUAUCAGAGGGAAGCUGGGAUGAUAUACUUUAAAAUCCUUUCUGGGAAACUGUGAACAUCUAGGGGAAACAAGCAGCCUAUUCCUCCUUCUCCCUCUCCUUUUUUUUUUUUUUCCUCUUUGUGCUCUCUAUUGUCUCUUUUCACCCCUUUCUUCCAUCUCACUUCUCUUUCCAUUCUCCUCCUCCGAGCUGUCUGAGCGGAGCACAAGUUGACAGAAGCCCCUCCUGCUGCUCCUGCACUGAUUGUUACAAAACAAGAAGUAGCCCUGCGGUGAGAUCAUCAGGAGCCACUUUAUUUGCCAGAGCCUCAUCUAGGAAGGUAGGUCCUCAAAGUGAAAGGAAGGAAGGAAAGUCCCUGCCAAGGCUACGUGUGGGCGCAGCAGAUUGGUUGCAUCCUGCUGGAAACAGCGCACUGGAGGAGAUGCCAAAAGAGAAUGGGAAUAUUCUUUGCUCUUUCUACUUUGUCACUACAUUGUUCAGAAAAACAAGGGGGGAGGUCAGUGCAGAAAAACCUCAGCAUGAACUGGAAAAUCAUUUGUUUCCAAAACUUGAAAAAAAAGAAAUACAAGAUGAAAACUGACCUAAUUUACCUACUUGCAUCUUGUCUUGUCCCGCGUUUACAAAAUCUCAUCUAAGAGAGUGGCUCUAACUUGGUUUAUUUAGUCCUGCUCACUAAAAAAGAGUAAACAUUUACAGAACUGUUCUGGAAACCUGACCAGAAAUUGCUGAUGAACCAGCAUAAAAAUGGGGGAAGCUGAAUAAACAUUAAAUAGCUGUGUUAAGUGUCUGACUC
rnacentral:lncRNA from 1 species